GCCGAGGUACCAAAGUGGCCAACUGGAGCUGACUGUAAAUCAGCUGGCUUAUGCCUUCGGGGGUUCGAAUCCCUCCCUCGGCACCA
rnacentral:tRNA from 1 species